rnacentral:rRNA from 1 species
UACGGAGGGUGCAAGCGUUGUCCGGAAUCACUGGGCGUAAAGGGCGCGUAGGCGGCUCAUGAAGGCUGUGGUGAAAGUCCGGGGCUCAACCUCGGAUCGGCCGUGGCGACUCGUGGGCUGGAGCACUGUAGAGGCGGGUGGAAUUCCGGGUGUAGCGGUGGAAUGCGUAGAGAUCCGGAAGAACACCAGUGGCGAAGGCGGCCCGCUGGGCAGUGGCUGACGCUGAGGUGCGAAAGCGCGGGGAGCAAACAGG